CAGGUUUACCUGUGUGACUGCGUACCUUUUGUAUAAUGGGUCAGCGACUUAUAUUCUGUAGCAAGGUUAACCGAAUAGGGGAGCCGGAGGGAAACCGAGUCUUAACCGGGCGUUAAGUUGCAGGGUAUAGACCCGAAACCCGGUGAUCUAGCCAUGGGCAGGUUGAAGGUUGGGUAACACUAACUGGAGGACCGAACCGACUAAUGUUGAAAAAUUAGCGGAUGACCUGUGGCUGGGGGUGAAAGGCCAAUCAAACCGGGAGAUAGCUGGUUCUCCCCGAAAGCUAUUUAGGUAGCGCCUCGUGAAUUCAUCUCCGGGGGUAGAGCACUGUUUCGGCUAGGGGGCCAUCCCGGCUUACCAACCCGAUGCAAACUGCGAAUACCGGAGAAUGUUAUCACGGGAGACACACGGCGGGUGCUAACGUCCGUCGUGAAGAGGGAAACAACCCAGACCGCCAGCUAAGGUCCCAAAGUCAUGGUUAAGUGGGAAACGAUGUGGGAAGGCCCAGACAGCCAGGAUGUUGGCUUAGAAGCAGCCAUCAUUUAAAGAAAGCGUAAUAGCUCACUGGUCGAGUCGGCCUGCGCGGAAGAUGUAACGGGGCUAAACCAUGCACCGAAGCUGCGGCAGCGACACUGUGUGUUGUUGGGUAGGGGAGCGUUCUGUAAGCCUGCGAAGGUGGCCUGUGAGGGUUGCUGGAGGUAUCAGAAGUGCGAAUGCUGACAUAAGUAACGAUAAAGCGGGUGAAAAGCCCGCUCGCCGGAAGACCAAGGGUUCCUGUCCAACGUUAAUCGGGGCAGGGUGAGUCGACCCCUAAGGCGAGGCCGAAAGGCGUAGUCGAUGGGAAACGGGUUAAUAUUCCCGUACUUGGUGUUACUGCGAAGGGGGGACGGAGAAGGCUAUGUUGGCCGGGCGACGGUUGUCCCGGUUUAAGCGUGUAGGUGUGUGUUCCAGGUAAAUCCGGUUCACUUUAACACUGAGGCGUGACGACGAGGCACUACGGUGCUGAAGCAACAAAUGCCCUGCUUCCAGGAAAAGCCUCUAAGCAUCAGGUAACAUCAAAUCGUACCCCAAACCGACACAGGUGGUCAGGUAGAGAAUACCAAGGCGCUUGAGAGAACUCGGGUGAAGGAACUAGGCAAAAUGGUGCCGUAACUUCGGGAGAAGGCACGCUGACACGUAGGUGAAGUGAUUUACUCAUGGAGCUGAAGUCAGUCGAAGAUACCAGCUGGCUGCAACUGUUUAUUAAAAACACAGCACUGUGCAAACACGAAAGUGGACGUAUACGGUGUGACGCCUGCCCGGUGCCGGAAGGUUAAUUGAUGGGGUCAGCGCAAGCGAAGCUCCUGAUCGAAGCCCCGGUAAACGGCGGCCGUAACUAUAACGGUCCUAAGGUAGCGAAAUUCCUUGUCGGGUAAGUUCCGACCUGCACGAAUGGCGUAAUGAUGGCCAGGCUGUCUCCACCCGAGACUCAGUGAAAUUGAACUCGCUGUGAAGAUGCAGUGUACCCGCGGCAAGACGGAAAGACCCCGUGAACCUUUACUAUAGCUUGACACUGAACAUUGAGCCUUGAUGUGUAGGAUAGGUGGGAGGCUUUGAAGUGUGGACGCCAGUCUGCAUGGAGCCGACCUUGAAAUACCACCCUUUAAUGUUUGAUGUUCUAACGUGGACCCGUUACCCGGGUUGCGGACAGUGUCUGGUGGGUAGUUUGACUGGGGCGGUCUCCUCCUAAAGAGUAACGGAGGAGCACGAAGGUUGGCUAAUCCUGGUCGGACAUCAGGAGGUUAGUGCAAUGGCAUAAGCCAGCUUGACUGCGAGCGUGACGGCGCGAGCAGGUGCGAAAGCAGGUCAUAGUGAUCCGGUGGUUCUGAAUGGAAGGGCCAUCGCUCAACGGAUAAAAGGUACUCCGGGGAUAACAGGCUGAUACCGCCCAAGAGUUCAUAUCGACGGCGGUGUUUGGCACCUCGAUGUCGGCUCAUCACAUCCUGGGGCUGAAGUAGGUCCCAAGGGUAUGGCUGUUCGCCAUUUAAAGUGGUACGCGAGCUGGGUUUAGAACGUCGUGAGACAGUUCGGUCCCUAUCUGCCGUGGGCGCUGGAGAACUGAGGGGGGCUGCUCCUAGUACGAGAGGACCGGAGUGGACGCAUCACUGGUGUUCGGGUUGUCAUGCCAAUGGCACUGCCCGGUAGCUAAAUGCGGAAGAGAUAAGUGCUGAAAGCAUCUAAGCACGAAACUUGCCCCGAG
rnacentral:rRNA from 1 species